GGUGCCAGCAGCCGCGGUAAUUCCAGCUUCAGUAGCAUCUAUUAAAGUUGCUGCGGUUAAAAGGCUCGCAGUUGAAUGUCAGUGCCGGGCGUUGGAUAGGUGGACGUUGGGGCGUGGGAUCAAGUCGCAGUAGCUGCUUCUCUUCACUUCACGGUGUUGGGGACACUCUCGGCUCCCACAUGCUCCCGUCCGUAACAAGCCUCCGCGCCUGUGUACAUAGUGAUGCUUGUUGUGGGAGGUGCGCUUGGUGUUCGCGCGCCUUGUGUGUCUCUCCUAGAGUUUCAGUGUCACCGUGAGUAAAUCGGAGUGCUCAAAGCAGUCGUAACGGGCCUUGUGCCCUGUGAACAGUCUUGACGGACUGACUUGGUUUUGCAUGGUAUGUCGGAAGACGACGUCGAGCGCUGGCUAAGAGAUUCAAUCAGUGGUGUAAGCCAGCCUCGACGUACUGAUUAAAAGGGCUUGUCGAGGGCAUUGGUAUUGCGGAGCGAGAGGUGAUUUUCUAUGACCUCCGCAAGACCGCCCGAAGCGAAAGCGUCUGCCAAGGAUGUUUUCC
rnacentral:rRNA from 1 species